UACGGAGGGUGCAAGCAUUGAUCGGAAUUACUGGGCGUAAAGGGCGCGUAGGCGGCUUAGAAAGUCAGAUGUGAAAUUCCGGGGCUCAACCCCGGAGCUGCAUUUGAAACUUCUAGGCUAGAGUUCAGUUAGGGAAAACAGAAUUCCACGUGUAGCGGUGAAAUGCGUAGAUAUGUGGAAGAAUACCGGUGGUGAAGACGGUUUUCUGGGCUGAGACUGACGCUGAGGCGCGAAAGCAAGGGGAGCAAAC
rnacentral:rRNA from 1 species